UGGCGGCGUGCCUAAUACAUGCAAGUAGAACGCUGAAGGAAGGAGCUUGCUCUUUCCGGAUGAGUUGCGAACGGGUGAGUAACGCGUAGGUAACCUGCCUGGUAGCGGGGGAUAACUAUUGGAAACGAUAGCUAAUACCGCAUAACAGUAGAUAUUGCAUGAUAUCUGCUUGAAAGGUGCAAUUGCAUCACUACUAGAUGGACCUGCGUUGUAUUAGCUAGUUGGUGAGGUAACGGCUCACCAAGGCGACGAUACAUAGCCGACCUGAGAGGGUGAUCGGCCACACUGGGACUGAGACACGGCCCAGACUCCUACGGGAGGCAGCAGUAGGGAAUCUUCGGCAAUGGACGGAAGUCUGACCGAGCAACGCCGCGUGAGUGAAGAAGGUUUUCGGAUCGUAAAGCUCUGUUGUAAGAGAAGAACGAGUGUGAGAGUGGAAAGUUCACACUGUGACGGUAUCUUACCAGAAAGGGACGGCUAACUACGUG
rnacentral:rRNA from 1 species